GCCGGUGUAGCUCAACGGGUAGAGCACUCGACUUGUAAUCGAGAGGUUGUGGAUUCGAGUUCCUCCACCGGCUCCA
rnacentral:tRNA from 1 species